AUUGUGGAGUUAAUCUGAUAUUGAGUAAAGUAAUAGAAAAGAAAUGUUUGAGAGGAAAUCAAUUGUUGAGAAGGAUGUUUUGUUUGAUCUCCUCAACCGCAUUGCUCACUGCUUCGUCCGAGCUGCUGGGAUUGGGGCACUUCAAGCUUUAUCCAAGGAAGCAUAUUUCACUGCUCUACAAGGUUGCAAUGGUGACAACGCUGCUUCUCAGAAGAAGGUAUGGUAGCGGGAGUUUAUUCGGGGCUCACCUACGGAUUGAAAGAGGCUAGGGGCGUCCAUGAGUGGAAAAACAACGCGUUGGCGGGGGCUCUCACCGGAGGGGCGCUGGCGCUGACUCUGGAUCACACCUCCCAUGAAAAGAUAGUGCAGUGUGUUAUAACAGGAGCUGCUUUAUCCACUGCUGCAAAUAUUCUUGCUGGGGUUUUAUAGAUUAGUCCCUCCAUUACUUCUAAAAUAUUUCAAUACAUUUUCUACAUUCUCACAUUUAGGGUUCUCUUUAUGUACUUCAAAUUUACCUCUACUCUUUUUAACAUAAUUUGAACAACCAAAUAAUACAAUUUUGUUGUAAGACAUGUUUUUUCCCUCCCUGUUAUGUAUUAUCUUAUUUGUGUAUAAUGAUUCAUAAA